rnacentral:rRNA from 1 species
UAAUACGUAGGGGGCAAGCGUUGUUCGGAAUUACUGGGCGUAAAGGGCGCGUAGGCGGCAUGACAAGUCGGGAGUGAAAGCCCGGGGCUCAACCCCGGAACGGCUUUCGAAACUGUCAAGCUAGAGUGCGGAAGAGGCAACUGGAAUUCCCAGUGUAGCGGUGAAAUGCGUAGAUAUUGGGAAGAACACCUGAGGCGAAGGCGGGUUGCUGGGCCGACACUGACGCUGAUGCGCGAAAGCCAGGGGAGCAAACGGGAUUAGAUACCCCGGUAGUCCUGGCCCUAAACGAUGGAUACUUGGUGUGUGGGGUUCUCUAAGUCCCCGCGUGCCGGAGCUAACGCGUUAAGUAUCCCGCCUGGGGAGUACGGUCGCAAGGCUG